rnacentral:rRNA from 1 species
GAUGAACGCUGGCGGCGUGCCUAAUACAUGCAAGUCGAGCGAACGGACGAGAUUGGUGCUUCUCGGAUGUUAGAGGGGUGCGGGAGAGGAACACAAGGAUAACCUACCUAUGAGAUUGGUAUAGCUUCGUGGAACCGGAGCUAAAAACGAAUAAUUUUUUGAUGCUCAGGGUUCAAAAGUUAAAGCGGGUCUUGCUGGCACUUCUGCAUGUAUCCUCGCUGCAUUAGCUAGUUGGUAAGGUAACUGCUUACGAAGGCAACGAUGCAUAGCCGACCUGAGAGGGUCAUCGGCCACACUGGAACUGAGACACGGUCCAGACUCCUACGGGAGGCAGCAGUAGGGAAUCUUCCGCAAUGGGCGAAAGCCUGACGGAGCAACGCCGCGUGAGUGAUGAAGGUCUUCGGAUCGUAAAACUCUGUUAUUAGGGAAGAACAUAUGUGUAAGUAACUGUGCACAUCUUGACGGUACCUAAUCAGAAAGCCACGGCUAACUACGUG